GAAAGUAGAAGAUCUAAUUAAGAUAAAAUUUUAAUGUAACAGUUAUUAUUUAAUUUAGUUCUAAUUAGGGGUGAAAUGCCUUCAAUUCUAAUAUAUCUGGAUUUAAAUUAAAUAUAUUUAGUAUAGGACUAAAGGUCUCAGAUUUAAAAUGUUAAGAUUUUAAAAUGUUAUUAAAUAAAUAGAUUUUUUUUAAGAAAACUUAUAAGUGUUAAACCUCUUAUAGAAAAUUAUUAAAUAAUUACUUUUAAGGUCAUUAAUAAAAAUUAAUUUAAUAGUUCUAAUAAAUGUCUCAUUUAACUAAAUAAUGUUUAGAUUAGUAUAAUUUAUUAAAUUUUUGAAAGAAACUCGGCAAAGGAAUUCUUCAACUGUUUAACAAAAACAUAGCUUAGUGACGCCAAUAUAACAAUGCUAAGUAAUUUCUGCCCAGUGAUUCUUUUAACGGCCGCAGUACCUUAACUGUGCUAAGGUAGCAUAAUAAAUUGGCUUUUAAUUGGAGUCUAGUAUGAACGAAAGAAUGGGGAAUAACUGUCUCCUUUUAAUUUAUUUUAAUUUAUUAAUAAGGUGAAAAUACCUUAAUACUACUAAAUAGACAAGAAGACCCUUAGAAUUUUAAUUAUAUAGGUAUAAAUUACCUAUUCAUUUUUGUUGGGGCGACAAGGUAACAAAGAACUUACCUUAAAAUUGCAAACUAGGCAUUAAUUAAUAGUAAGAUAAAAUUACCUAAGGGAUAACAGCAUAAUAUUUUUUUGAUUGUGACCUCGAUGUUGGAUUAGGGAAGAUAAUAGCUAGUAGUUAUUAUUCUUGGUUCUGUUCGAACUUAUUAUACCUACAUGAUCUGAGUUCAGACCGGUGUAAGCCAGGUCAG
rnacentral:rRNA from 1 species